GAGGCACUAGUAAAAUCAGCGUAUCACACUGUCUUGUCAAGGCGGAAUCGUGGGUUAAACCCCCACGUGCCUCA
rnacentral:tRNA from 1 species